rnacentral:rRNA from 1 species
CCUACGUGUGGCAGCAGUGAGGAAUAUUGGUCAAUGGGCGAGAGCCUGAACCAGCCAAGUCGCGUGAAGGAUGACGGCCCUACGGGUUGUAAACUUCUUUUGUCAGGAAUCAAUUGGGUCCACGCGUGUGCUUAGCGAGAGUACCUGAAGAAAAAGCAUCGGCUAACUCCGUGCCAGCAGCCGCUGUAAUCCGGAGGAUGCGAGCGUUAUCCGGAUUUAUUGGGUUUAAAUGGUGCGUAGGCGGAAUAUCAAGUCAGCGUUAAACAUUCGGGGCUCAACCCCGUCGUGCCGUUGAAACUGGCAGUCUCUAGUUGGAGAGAAGUAUGCGGAAUGCGCGGUGUAGCGGUGAAAUGCAUAGAUAUCGCGCAGAACUCCGAUUGCGAAGGCAGCAUGCCGGCUCCACACUGACGCUGAGGCACGAAAGCGUGGGUAUCGAACAGGAUUAGAUACCCGUGUAGUC